CAUAGAGUGGGAGAGACAGAAAAAAUAGGAAAAGAGAGUGGGAGGAGAGAAUGAGAGUGACAGAGAGACAGAUCAAUAGAAAAAAUAUCACCACCCCAAGGAUCGUGACAGCAUCCCAUUGGUCCUCUUCUUCUGGUCUUCUUGGUGGUGAGGGUCCUGGUCUUGAUCUGUUGGGAGUGGCAGAAGCCCAUGAAACACAGAGUCCACUGGAUUUAUAUUUUCUCAGGUUCAGGUGGGAACAGCCAGGUACUUCUCCUAGGGCAGGAAGUUUUAUACUGGAUGAUGUAAUACUGUGACUCGUGGGACACAUUGGUAGUUUUGAUGGUCAUGAUUCUAAGAUGCCUCUUAAAUCACCAAAGUGGAGUCAGUUCUGGACCAUUAUGCCCAUCAGCAGAGAUGAAUACCGUCAGACUACAUGUGAAUGUGCCAGUACUUUUCCAGAGGUGAGUUUUCACGGCUGAGCCACUUGUAUAAGAACCUUGGCAUGAUAAAAAGCACUAUCCAACCUCAUAGGAUUUACCUCUUACCAGCCUGUUCCCUUCUCUUGUUCAACACCCAACUGUAGCCUCUGGUGAUGGGUGGUUAAAUGGUUGAUUGACUGAGCAAUGAACCAGUGACAGUCCAGUCUCUCAUCCAGUGAAGACACAGAAUGAGGAACAGGAAAGUGCUAUAGAGCCAAGGGUAUAAUGAAUAUGUAAUUAUUUACAGAUAGCAGAUCAGCCCAAUUAGACAAGCCAAAGGGACCACUCCAGCCUGGACUUUUGAUCACUGCUGGGAUGUAAAAGACUGCUCUAACUUCCACUCUGCCUGGCUGGAAACAAGUGUCAAGCCUCCGUAUGUGAAGGUGGGAUCCAUUUUCCCAGCCCGACUAUAUGAACGGAUCAUCCCUCAAACUGCCAUCAACUGACUAUUUAGGACUUACUAUGUAAAAAAUCAAAAGCUUUAAGUUCUUCCUGAAAACCAGGAGGCAACAAUACCAGUCAGGAAACAAUAGGACUAAAAUAGCAACAGGAAUAUCAGGUUUUGUUACAGUGGCAAGGGCAGGAGGACUGUUUGAAGGACUCAGGGCCAGCUCAGAGUUGGAGCAGCUGAGGUAGCAAUUCCCAUUGGGAAUGCUUGGCCAUAGCCCAACCUGGCCUAUGGCAGCUGCUUUUCAACUGGGGCUCUAAUGGCUGAUCUACAAUCUCCACAGAACCACAGCCCUGCCCUGGCCAGCCACAGGGCCCACCUGCGAGCCCAUGGCCUGGCUUCAUCCCAUCCCAAAUAUGCUUCACCUGUCCCAAAUAUGGUUUUACCUGGUGUUCAAAAAGCCAAUUCACACAUGGAGUAGAGAUGUUUGUUUAUUAGGUCUGCCCACAUUCUUGAAAUAUUAUCUACCUGCUUUUAUACUUUUUUUACAUACUUCAAACUUUUAUACUUUUUUUUAUACUUCAAACAGUGAAAAAUCAACAUUUCUCAUAUGAGAAACAAUCUAAAGACAGAGCAACAGGUUACACAUUCCUUCAGUUCCAUUUUCAGUUCCAUCCAUUCAGUUCCAUCGUCUGUGGAGAAGGGGCUUAUCUGAGUAAGGGGUGAUUGUAGCGGGGUGAAGUAAGCACAUUUAUUUCACUGUGUCAAAGACUAAAGGUCAGCACAAAGUUCAUAUAGAAUUCUUCUUUGGCUUUGGCAGCAGCUCAUUAUGGUUCUAUCUUCUUGCUAGAUUAAAUUUAUAGUGUCAUCUUGCUUUUGCUCCUUGGGUCUUGGCUCCUAGUUUUCACUAGGUAUCCAGAGUUGAGUGUCUGCAGGUGUCAAGUGGGUGACCACCUGUGGUGGGUCUAGUGCUGGCCAAAUUCCAGUGCACUCACUGGAAUUAUUUACUCAUUUUUUGCUGCGAGAUAAGGACUAGGAGGAGAGCAAAGUAGGCUCAAAAUUUUAAAGGGUAUAAAGAAAACUUUAUUAACAGAACUAAAAGAAAAAUAGUAAGAAGUCAGAAUAAACCUUCGGAACAUUUCUCCACCCCCCAACUCUUCUUUCUUCUCCCACGGAUAACGUAAAGACGCAAAAUUUGGUAUUUUCAGUUUACCACUUCUAAAAUAAUCUUUAUUCAGUUCACUUAGGGAGAGGAGUCUCACCUGACAUGCCAUGAAGACUUUUUCACAAGAAACAGUUCUGACAUUGUUUUAAUUUUCAUGAAUAGCAGCAAUGGAAAUCUGCAAUUGUCCCUGCAAAAGUCCUUCCCACAGUUUGGUAGUCUUCCCACAACUACCACCAUGUGUCAUCUUAGCUUAUUGGGGUACAAUUUUAAGGAUGAGCUGUUAUGUAUAGAAACAAAAGUUAUUUUAUUUCUGGGAACAGAGGUUUUCUUCUUCCAUCCAUGGGGCAACGUUUCUUUUCUCUCUCUGUUCAAGCUUCUCAGUGGAUCACAGCUACUUCAGCAUUUGCUUGCUUCAACACAGGUACCUCUGCUCAUGGCUGUGGUUAGAACUCUACAUUCCCCCAAUGCAUUCCAUGAGUUUCAGGGAAAAAAAAGUUUGAUGUAUCAAUUACAUCUUCACCAUAGCCUCACAAAAGAAUUUCAGCCCAAGACUAAGGCAUCUCCUCACUCUCCUUCCAUCUAGGAUUUGAGUCCUUCACUAACCUCGGUGUCUCUGUCUUGUUUUCUCUAUGUGUCUUUAUGCUUUCCUUUUCUUUCACUCGCGUUUCACGUGUGCACUAGAGUUGGUAUCUCAGCCGGGCCUGCGGAUGGCCGUGUGAUCCCUGCCGAGUGAUGGCCGCUCUGGCUGCACGGCUGUUCUCCAGCCCCUGCCACGGUCAGUUCCAGCUGCGGGGCUGCUUUCUGCAUGGGCUGCAGGGCUGCCUCUGUUCUUAGCUGCACGGUUUUCUGCGGUGCCAGCAGGAAGGCUCAGCAGCUCGUGGCCCGAGCAGGGGCCAGCCUGGCUCCACCCAAAGCCAAGCCGAGCCAGCCUGGCCCACCAGCCCCGGUCGGAACCCGGCGGCAGCAGAAUGUCAGCGAGCGAGCCCGAGCGGGCCGCGCUGCAGCACGGCAGGGCUCGGCCCGGGCCCGCCAGGCCCUGCAGGCCCUGCGGCACAGCGGGGCCUGGCCCGCCUACAGCAUACAGUUACUGCUCAAAGUGUCAGUUGUGUCCUGAGUGUCACCUGCUUCCCUUCAGCAUCAAUGGAGAAAUUUUCCUUUGUUUGCUAUGGAGAUCCCAUUGUGGCCCAGAAGGGAAUGAUAAAGUUACAUAGACGUGGAGGGGAUAAUGUCUAGUGAGGAGAAACCAGGAGCAGCCACAGGCAGACUUGGAAACACUGAAUAAGGAUCAGCAGUGACAGAAAAGAGCUGUGGUGCAAGACAGAAGCAAAGUCUACCCAGGGAUUCACAGCAAGUAGGAAAAAAUUGAAUUUCCUAUUUCCAGUAUGAGGACAGAACACAGCUGUCAUGGAGAACAAAAAGGCAAAUGGAAAGGGCAGGAGCAGCAACAAAAAGCUUUGUCCCAUUUCCAGAGGAGAGCCUUUAAAGUACACCAGACAUCACAGUAGUGGCUGGGACUGUACAACAAUGUGCUCAGCCAUGCAGAGAGGCUGCCUUUCCUCAAACACACCACAGCUAUGACACCAUGUGCUUGCUCCAGCUCAGACACAAGAAGUAUUGAACAUCAGCAGAAAAUAGGUCUCUACAAACAAUUUAUUGCAUCCAGCAGCAUGCAAUCCAGUCUGCUUUAUCCCAGCUAGAGAUAUUUGAGAUCCCUGGAGAGUUUUUGGCAUCAGAUCCACAUGUCUUGCUUACUUGUUAGCAGUGGGAGCUUGCACCAUCCCCACAAAGCCAGCAUCAGCAAAAGUUACUGAAGAAAUCCUUUUCCUUUACAGGGGCACAACUCAUGCCUUUAGGGGCUGGAUUCAUGCACGCAGUGCACUGAAACCAGAAACAUACAAGUUGAACGCUUUUAAGAUGAACAUUCUGUUGAGAAAAAGGAAGGGAAGAAAAAAUCCCUAAAGUCUUUGCAGUGAAUUUAAUAACUCUGACAUUUACACUCAUCCUACCUGAUAGCAUGUCAAUCGGAAGAAAAUAUUGCUAAUAUUAUAAAUAAGGUAUCUGGAAAUUAGGAAAGGCCAGCACUGAAGUGUAAUAACAGAAUUAUGAGUUAUAUCAUGGCACAUUUACUUCUGAACAAUGUCCAAGGCAAUCAUCAUUCAGGCCCCUUAUGCCAAUAGGAAGCUGUUCCUUAGAUAAGUCAUCCCUCACUUUUUCUGUAAGGCAAGGACUGGCCAAUAUUUAGAAAUAUUUUUGAAGACCAACAAACCCACAGCAGGCUUAAUUUACAAAAGCAAUGAAUGGUUAUUUGGUAUAUUAUUUAUGGCCUUGUUUUUGUGGACAGAUGUAUAUUUUUAAAUAACAUAUCUUCAUGGAUUAUAGUCUGAUAUUUUCUCAUCUUUUACAACCUUCCAAACUGUUUUCUUGAUUAUUCUUACAUCAUACUACAGAAUGAGAUAAAACGAUGUGAUGAUGUAAGUAUCUGGGUCUUCCUUUAUCUCUGUCCCAAAGGGGUGCUAAACUAAUGAAUUAAAUUACAUUUUCUGCAAGCAGUCCCUAGUCCCACACGCUUCUCACACGUAAUAUUUUGUGAAUUCACAGAAUCGCAGAGCAAUUCAGACUGGAAGGUACCUCAUAAAGUCUCUAGUCUGACCUCCUGCUCAAAGCUGGUUUAUACAAAUAUUAACCUGAAUUACAGCUGUAAGUAUGUGAAAGGUUUCCUCAGAAGCCAUUCUUGAAGCUCCUUUUGAUGUGCAGUGUUCACAUUUGCAUGAGCCACUGUAAAGUGUUACAUUAUCCUGCCUCUGGGUGUCAGCAUUUGCCCUCAUUUGGAGACAUUUAUAAAUUGUCCUUAAAAUUGCUUGUCUCUAAGGAACCGUGAAGCCAAACAGAUUCCAGUUCUCAUUCUGAAUUUGUCUGAACAGUUGGAUCUGGUUUAUGAGAAUUUUCAAGUAAGCUGGAAUAAUCAAGCUAAAUUGGAAAAUUAUAUUCUGUGUGAUGGAGAAGGGAUUUUUUUUCAGGAUUUCACUUCUAAGAUAGAAGGGAAAGGGAGAUUCAAUUCUGAAUUCACCUUUUUUCCCUUACAUUCAGACUGCAAGCUUUGAGCAAGAAAAAAGAAAUGAGAAGAAAUAUGACAGGUUUGCACAUUGCUAUGCUACCCAUUUACAGAUGAUACACUCUCAGAUAAGCAAAAGUUAUACACAGCUUUUCAUUUUAAGCUAAAGCUUACCUCUGGAGACAGGAUCUGUAUGAGGUUACAUUAUUCCAGCUGUCAUUAUGGCCAGGUGGUGGAGACAAAAGCUGUAGAAAGACUAUUUUGCUCUUCACCAAUGUAGCCAGUGUCAGGGCCAUCAUGGGGAGGAAGAGCAGCAGAGUAAAGAAGGAAGACAAUGGUGACUAUUUAAAUGGAAGGACCAUAAUGCCUAUCUAAUACAGUAAACCUUCAGUCUCUCUCCUGCUGCACACAGUCAUAGAGAAUUCUUCAUAACACCCAACUCUCAGAAACACUCAAAAGAUUUGAAAGAACUCAACACCUCAUGGGAUCAGUUCUCUGCUUUCUUGUAGCUCCUGGUAUGUGAGCUCAGAGGCAUUGUCAAAAUUUCUCCAGAUCACAGGAACUGGGUAGAAGCAUAUCCUGUGGAAAUCUGUCUGCCUAGAAGAUUUUGACACAUAGAAUAAUAAAAUAUUUCAGGUUGGAAGGUACCCAUGAGGAUCAUCAAGUCCAAUUCCCUGCUCCUUGAAAGACUAGGUAAAAUUUAAAACUAAGACUAAGAGCACCCUCCAGACAGUCCUUGAGCUCUGACUGGCUUGGUGCCAUGGCCAUUUCCCUGGGUAGGUGUUGCAGUC